rnacentral:lncRNA from 1 species
AUGAAACAAGUAGAGCCAUGUCCACCUAGGGUCAAAUGGGAUCUAUUCUCCCAUUUGAAGAACAUACUAUUUUGUGCUGAUGAACAGCAGAGAAGCUGGAAAGGAUAUUCUAUAAAAGGAUGUGACACGGUCUCUUUUAUUCUUCAUUCAGUUCACUUCCUCAGGAAUGCAAAAAGAAUGGCCUCAAAGAUGAAAGUAUCAAUGGACAAGACUGACACAGAGCAUAUUUUACUUGUAAAAAGAUACAUAGCCCCAUCUCUAAUUUCUCGCACCUGUAAUAAAUCUUCAUCUGGUAGAAGAAAAGCUGCAUGCCCACUACUUCUUGUGAGCAGAAGAAUAGAAAAGGAAGAAAAUGUCCUAGUUUCCCUCUUAUGCAAGAAUGGAUGGAGGAAGUCACACAAAGCAAUAAGCUUCUCUUCAUAAAUGGAGGAGAGCAUUUGGCCUCAAGUCAUAAAAACACCCCAGUCCUGGAGCUCCAAGUGGUGAGACACUCACAGCUCUGAAAGAUGUAUGGUGUGCAGCAGUGUACCUUAAGGACUAAGAUAGGGUAUUCAAAUUUCAGCAAAAGUGCUCUCCAAAGUUCUCAAAGGCCGAUUUUCUGAAAUUCUUGGAAUAGAGUUGAAGAAACAGUCAUGGAUACUGUUAGAGCUUUUUUAUGCGUAUGUCUUACCAUUUGGAGCACAGUAAUGUGAACCGAAAACACCACACUAUGUUGAAGAGAAUGUUUCCUUGGCAUUUAUAAUUACAGAAAACAAGCAAAUAAUCCCUCUCUUUUGUCAAAUAAGUAAGGCAGUAAAUUGAAGACAUUUCUUUUUAGAUCAAAACAACACCUAAGAAAAGCACUUAGCCCAGUGCUCACAUAAUGAACCACAGUUCAGCUUGCAAUGAUGUCAGGUUUUCCUCUCAGACCUUCAAGUGCUUUUGACAAGUCAGAAGUAAUGAUGGCUCACUAGGAGUGUAAUUGGCCACUUACUCUCUUCAGUGAGUUUAGAACAUUGAUCUUUUCCUUUAGUUGCCACAAAUAUUAUUGCUUUCCUUAUGAAGGCAGUUCUAAAUUUUAAAUAUAUAUCAAAACAAAAAAGUACCAUAAGGGCUAGUUUGAGGUUCCCUUUCCCUAAAGCAUUAGGAUAUUUGCAAUUAUGUACCCUCACAAAACACUGCUACAAUGCUACCUGUAAGGUAGGACACUCAGUUAAAAAUAUUAUAAAAAGACGUAAGUAGAGCAAAGAAGGAAGCAUUUGCUUCAUAAGGCUGUGCAUAUACAUGAACACUCAAAUAAAAUACACACAGGUCACA